CCAGCAGCUGCGGUAAUUCCAGCUCCACGAGUGUAUAUUUAUGUUGUUGCGGUUAAAAAGUUCGUAGUCGAAGCUUUGUCGUGUUCGCGGGAGAGUGUCGAAAAAUUCGAUGCUGCUCGCACACUUCAUGCCGGGCGGAUAUGGGUGCGGUGGGAUUAACUUCUCGUCGUAACCAGCCGUCCAUAGCCCUGUGAUUAACUCAGAGCGUUCAAAGCAGGCUCUUGGGCCGUUGAAUGUCAAAGCAUGGGAUGCUGGAAAAGGACGAGUUUCCUUUUGCUGGUUCAAGCGAAAUUCGUAAUGAUUAAUGGAAACGAUCGGGGACAUGCGUAUUCGGUAGUGAGAGGUGAAAUUCUAUGAUCUACUGAAGACGAUCUACUGCGGAAGCAUUUGUCCAGGGCGUGUUCGUCGAUCAAGAACGAAAGU
rnacentral:rRNA from 1 species